GGUGAGCUACCCCGAGACAGCCUAUGUUAAUUUAGGGCUAACCCGUCUCUGUGGCAAAAGAGUGGGAAGAGCUCCGGGUAGAAGUGAAAGACCUACCGAACCUGGUGAUAGCUGGUUGACUGAGAAAUGGAUAGAAGUUCAGCCUCGCACACCCCAAACCAAAAAAUAUUAUCACCAAGAUAUUAAGGGAAACGUACGAGAGUUAGUUAAAAGGGGUACAGCCCUUUUAACAAAGGAUACAACCUUUACAGGAGGAUAAAGAUCAUAAUGUAUAAGAUAUACUGUUCUAGUGGGCCUGAAAGCAGCCACCUAAACAGAAAGCGUUAAAGCUCGGACAGAAGGAAGUUUAUUAUACUGAUAAAAAAUCUUAUUCCCCUAGCUAUAUCAGACCAACCCAUGCCCCCAUGGAAGAGAUUAUGCUAAAAUGAGUAAUAAGAAGACCCGCUCUUCUCCCAGCACAAGUGUAAACCAGAUCGGACUGACCACUGGAACUUAACGAACCCAACCCCAGAGGGUAAUGUGAUUAACAAAAAACUCAAGAAGGCCUCACAUAAUUAAUCGUUAACCCCACACUGGAGUGCUAUUUUAAGGGAAAGACUAAAAGAGGGGGAAGGAACUCGGCAAACACAAGCCUCGCCUGUUUACCAAAAACAUCGCCUCCUGCAACUAAACUGAGUAUAGGAGGUCCAGCCUGCCCAGUGACUACGGGUUCAACGGCCGCGGUAUCUUGACCGUGCAAAGGUAGCGCAAUCACUUGUCUCUUAAAUAGAGACCUGUAUGAAUGGCUAGACGAGGGCUUAACUGUCUCCCCCUUCCAGUCAGUGAAAUUGAUCUAUCCGUGCAGAAGCGGGUAUAAAUAUACAAGACGAGAAGACCCUUUGGAGCUUAAGGUACAAAAUUCAGCCACGUUAAACAACUCUAUAAGAAGCAAGAACUUAGUGAUAAUGAAAUUUUACCUUCGGUUGGGGCGACCGCGGAGGAAAAACAAGCCUCCGAGUGGACUGGGCCGAGUCCCUGAAGCCAAUAGAGACAUCUAUAAGCCGCAGAACAUCUGACCAAAAAUGAUCCGGCUAAAAGCCGAUCAACGAACCAAGUUACCCAAGGGAUAACAGCGCAAUCCCCUCCCAGAGCCCAUAUCUACGAGGGGGUUUACGACCUCGAUGUUGGAUCAGGACAUCCUAAUGGUGC
rnacentral:rRNA from 1 species